AUGAAGGUGCCAUUGGGGGCGAGGAACAUGGUAGCUAGGCGCACGGCGUCCAUGACAAGCGCUGACUGCGUGGUUGUGGCCUCCUGCGCAGCCGAUGCACUGUUGCCACCACCGUCGUGGAGGACGACUUCAAAUGACGUGACGCCCCUCGAGUCCAUGAGCCGCCGCACGGCGGCGCCGCACCUGGCACUGGCAGUUAUGUCUUCCUUGAGAGAGAGAGCGCCGCGGAUGGGGCGGAUGGGCGCGAGGUCGACGCCGACGACGAAGGCGCCGGGGGCGGCGCGGCUGACGGCCACCUGGACCCACCCCCCAGGCGCGGCGCAGAGAUCAAGCACCGCGCGAGCCGUCGGGAGAAAACGGAAGAGCGUGUCGAGCUGGAGCAGCUUGAAGGCCGCGCGACUCCGGUACCCUUGCUCCUUCGCAAGGAGGUCGAACUUGUCCUGCAGCCGCUGUUUCCCGUUGUUCCCCGCAUCCAUGGGCAUGGCUGACGCCGCCGCCGCCGGCGAGAAUUCUCAAUGGGAGGAGAGCUGCGAACUAGGGUUUCAAGGGUAG
rnacentral:rRNA from 1 species